ACUCGGAUGUAAAAACCGACCCAGCCAAGCCUCCUCACCCCCACCUGUCGUCCCGUCCCCAAGAGAGAUUCGUCUCGUCGCCGUCUAGGGUUUUAGCCGCCGCCGCCGCCGCCGCGAAACCCUCGCCGCCUCGCCUCGCCUCGCAGCGGAGUCAGGAUGUUCCUCGGCGCGAUCCCGCGGCGGCCGAGCAAGGAGGUGGCGUACAAGCAGCUGCGCUCCCACCUCAUCGUCAUGGCCUCCUGCGUUGCCGCCAUCCGCGCCGCCCCCUACAUCCUCCACUUCCUCAACCGCGACGCGGACCGCCUCGAGCUCACCCUGGAGCUCUAGGCCGUAACCAUCCCCCGUCCCCCGCUAGGUGCUGCAGCGAUGGACGAAUCAUCUUCGCCUUAGUGUUCCAUGGAUGGUUGCAAAGCUAUGUUUGGAUAGGAUUUUUGCAGACCUUAUAAAACUUAAUCCUAUUAUUUUUGCUUGAGAGGCAUUUAGCUUUCUGUACGAUAACUCAAUGGCAGCACUCCUCGACUUAUCUGUUCUUUAAGUUUGCAGUCUUUGCAAUAGGCAUUGUGUUUCCUAUUGUGCUUAUAUUUUAACUGGCUAUGGAGUGAUUUCUGCUAUUUUACUUGAGGAUAGUUUAGAAAAACAAGACUGAGCCAUGGUUAAACAAGCAAGUUAAGAUACAUGGUUCGGAAAAGCUUUCUAAGCAAUUUCAUAAUUGUUUUGAGGGAA